CUUUAAAAAAAACAUUUAAAAUCUUAAACUUUUGACUGGUAGUGAACACACCACAAAGUUUUGGGAGUGACAUUUUCAUGUAUAUUAUACUUCUGCGUGUGCAGAACAGAUAAAAAUCAUUCAGUAGAAUGCAGGAGAAACUGGGUGAUGAGCUUGUUAAAGUAAGAUAAAAAAUAAACCUGGAAUAAAAACUAUUUGGUUCUACACUGUAAAAAAAAAUCCGUAAAAAUACAGUACAAUAUACCCUAAUAAUUACAGGAAAUUUUCCGUUUUUGGUUUUUACAGGUGUUUUUCCGUAUUUUUGAAUUACGAUUUGCAUUGUGGGAACAAGAACGGUGGCUUACAUAGGCGCCAAAACAGUGAAGAGAAGAUGCGGAGAGUUUCUCGGUCAAAGUUUCAUUUUAAUGUCGGCUUUCGAAUGUGGAAAACAUGUUUUUCAUAUACUCUUCGUGGUAAACGAGUUAAAUGUCACAUAAAUUGUUUACGUAAGGUUAACUUAGUUGCUGUCUGGCUUGUUUGGCAAAUGAACGUCGGAGCUGUCGCACUCAACAUUUCUCUGCAUAUCGUCAGACAUCUUCCUCGUGGAGUUUUCUGCCAAAUGAGGACGUGAUUGCUGCUGUACUGUGAAUCUCAAGCACACCUGCAUUCUUAUCAUGGGUGAUGGGCAGUUCAAGAUUGCUGUCGUUGAAGAAGUUAAUGACCACUGUUGAGGUUGUGAGCUACAAAUACCCAGAAGAGGCGGCACUUACAUUGGAGUUCAUACAGAAAGUUUUCCUAUGAAGAAAUCCUAAAUGAGGGUUGAGAUGAAGGAAACCAAGUAGGUGAUGGGCAGUUCAAGAUUGCUGUCGUUUGAGAAGUUAAUGAACAAAUCAUCUUUCCUGUUGCGGUUGUGAGCUACAAAAUACCCAGAGGAGGCAGCACUUACUCUGGAGUUCAUACAGAAAAUUUUCCUGUGAAGAAAUCCUAAACGUGGUUUGAGAUGAAGGCAACCAAGUGGCUGUGCGUUCCUCCAAGACUCUUGCAUGAACAAUUUAAAAAAUCCAUGUAAUAUUUGAGUUUUUAGAUAGAAAAAAAUGGCACUUGCAUUAAACAUUCAGUUAAAUGGUAAAUAAUACAUCCCCUAUAAUGAAUUGCAUCACUUUGAUGAUAUUUCUGUUAUAAUGAACUUCAAAAUUGUGUUGUCAAGCCACUGGAGUCACAUACUUUAUACCUUUCUGGACCUUGAAAAUGGUAGUUGCAUAGACAAUCAAUAGAGGGACAGAAAGUACCCAGAUUUAACUAAAAAUACUCUUAAUUUGUGUUCUAAAAAUGAAUGAAAGUCUUAUGGGUUUGGAAUGGUAUGAGUAAUUGACUGAAUUAGCAUUUUUUUGUGUGAACUAUCCCUCUAAACAAUAUUGUUUUCUCUUAUAAGAAAAAAAAGUUUUGAAUCUUGACUGUUUCUCAUUGUGACGUUUAAAUUUUGUGACCACUUUUUAGUACAACACCUGUAUUGUACAGAUGCUCAUGUUUUCUUUUUUCUUUUUUUAAAUUCUGUCCGUUACUGUUUAAAGCUAAACUGUCUUUUAUAAUACAGCCAUUUUGCCUGAGUUGACACAUUGUUAAAUGAAUUGAGUAUUUGAUGCUGUUUAGUCCUAACCCACUUAAGGCAAACAAAAGCCAUUGAAUGCA